rnacentral:rRNA from 1 species
AACGAACGCUGGCGGCAGGCUUAACACAUGCAAGUCGAGCGCCCCGCAAGGGGAGCGGCAGACGGGUGAGUAACGCAUGGGAAUCUACCCAUCUCUACGGAAUAACGCAUGGAAACGUGUGCUAAUACCGUAUACGUCCUUCGGGAGAAAGAUUUACCGGAGAUGGAUGAGCCCGCGUUGGAUUAGCUAGUUGGUGGGGUAAAGGCCUACCCAGGCGACGAUCCAUAGCUGGUCUGAGAGGAUGAUCAGCCACACUGGGACUGAGACACGGCCCAGACUCCUACGGGAGGCAGCAGUGGGGAAUAUUGGACAAUGGGCGCAAGCCUGAUCCAGCCAUGCCGCGUGAGUGAUGAAGGCCCUAGGGUUGUAAAGCUCUUUCACCGGUGAAGAUAAUGACGGUAACCGGAGAAGAAGCCCCGGCUAACUUCGUGCCAGCAGCCGCGGUAAAAC